ensembl:lncRNA
AUGUGCAAAAAGUGCAAUCCAUUACAGUUACUGAGAAGACUCAUAGUAAAAAAAAAAAAAACCUUGUCCAGAAGUGUCGCAGUGAGCAAGGUGUGGAACUUCCAGAAGGUCAGGCACCACAGCUUCAUUGAUCUUGUUGUGAUCCUGUCUUUUCCUCAUCAAAAGCACCUUCUGAGCCAAGGCCGUAUGAUUCCAAUCAAAUAAAUAUCUUGAACAACAUUACCUAUAAAUCAGAAAGCUGGAAUCUCCUGGUUUUGAUGAUGUGAAUGAAGUUUGAGGUCACGUGCAGCUGGUUUCUUUUCUGCUUCAGUCCUCACAUCUUCAUUCUUUCUCUUCAGUUAAACAGUUUCAAAGUGAACCAUUUCUGUGAACCACCAAUACGGUAAAAUCCCUUUUAAAUCCAGGUCCUAGGUCAAGUCACUAUCCCUUCAUCAAAUUUAGUGAAGCCCCAUGCAGUUGCACAGAUUUCAUAUAUAUAUAUAAAAACACACACACACACACACACACACACACACACACACACACACACACACACACACACACACACACACACACACACACACAGUACCCUUGUUCCAGACCCAGAAAAUCCACCAUUUAAAUAAUCUAAACACAUAGUGGUAUAUUCAUAGUUUGAAAGUGAUUUGCACUAUUUUCCAACAAUAUCAGUGUAUGUGCUUUAAAGCCUCUUGCUUGAGGUCUGUGCACCUUGACCUCUACAUUCUUCUGAAACCAUACACUAGUUUUGUAUGAGAAACAUCCAAACUCACAUUUUCUGUUCUUACCUUAAAAACAUGCAGGAGAAAAGAAAUCCUGAAAACAAGCCUUUCACAAAAAUCACAACUUUAUUGCACCAGUAUAUCUAUAUUGAUGUAUUUGCAAUACUGAAUGACGUCUCAUUUUCAGAAAAGGUAUUAGGUACAGAACCAUCGAUUCAAAUAUGACAAAGACACCCUCGUGUUCUUCAGCUUUCAGGCUUUUUGAAAAUAACCUUUCUGAAGUGAACUAAGAGAAUACAGACAUCCUACAGAACGUAGGCCUUUCAAACACACAUCUACUGGUUGAUAAAAUUUCCCAUUUACAAUUCCACAAACCUUAAAUACUUUAGCAAUGUGCAUUUUAACACGGUUUAAUAAGUAUAAUUUGCAAUAUGUUCUAUUCAUUUUUAAAAAUUAAACCAAGGCAACUUUUCUAAAACCCAAGGAUUCAUGAGGGGGUGGUUUGUAACAACAAGAAUGACUGGAGGGGGCACAGAGAGCACAAGGUAGACUGUACAAUGUCCUAAAUAGGAAAGCUUCAACAUUGGUUUACUCCUAUGACAGCUCUUCGGUGGAUAAGCAUGUACAUCAUUUUGACCCAGCGCUGCUAACAGACAUGGAACGGACAGGGCGUUUACAGCUCACACAGAUGAUGUUUGGACCAGCUUUUGUCUAGUUUUUCCCUGGACUGACCCCUUCACAGAGCAUCCAUGGGAUUGCUGUAGUUGCAUAGAGAGUAGAAAAGAGAUACAGGAUGUGACGCGCUAAUUCAGCCCUCCUGGCAAAAACACAGUGGUUUGUGUUAAGGCCCAUGUUUUUUUUUGUUUUUUUUUUUAGCUCACAUGGAUGAAAUGUAUUGCAUUGUUGUAUGCAGCACUGUGCAUAAAACAGAUUUUUGGAUUUUGGAAAAUCUGAAGAGAUACUGUCACAAGAGAAUCGGUUCCCUUUAAAAAUGCUCAUGUAUUCCAAUGGGACAAAAACAAAACUCUGCUUAGGUGAGUUUGAGAAAGAUGAGCUAGUAUUUAAGCAGGCAAGACCUGAAAAUAUACAAUCACAAGCAAUAAAUGUAUUGCAAUGUAAGACA